rnacentral:rRNA from 1 species
UACGAAGGGGGCUAGCGUUGCUCGGAAUUACUGGGCGUAAAGGGCGCGUAGGCGGACAGUUUAGUCAGAGGUGAAAGCCCUGGGCUCAACCCGGGAAUUGCGCUUGAGACUGGUGUGCUCGAGUACGGGAGAGGAUAGUGGAAUUCCCAGUGUAGAGGUGAAAUUCGUAGAUAUUGGGAAGAACACCAGUGGCGAAGGCGGCUAUCUGGACCGUAACUGACGCUGAGGCGCGAAAGCGUGGGGAGCAAACAGG